rnacentral:ncRNA from 1 species
UUAGUAGAGGUUGCGUAUUGUAUCAGUAAGUUAUCGGAUGUUUCAGGAGACGUAGGAAGAUAAUAGAAAGGAUAAUACGCCGAAAGGAUAUCUUUCCUGAGAAGAUAUUUGCUUGGGCAUAUGGUUAAUAGCCAUAUGACUGUCAUCUGACUUUAGAUGUUUAGAUGGUGAGCUACGA